rnacentral:lncRNA from 1 species
GAUUAGAACCAUCAGGGCAGGCAGACAGCAGCAGGUGUUCCGGAAGCCCUGCGCCCGAGCCGAGUGUGACACCCGUAGAGACUGCCUGGCCAAACUGAUCUAUGCGCGGUUGUUUGACUGGCUGGUAUCAGUGAUCAACAGCAGCAUCUGUGCAGACACCGACUCGUGGACCACUUUCAUAGGUAGCAAGGCCUCACUGUGCUGGGAGCACUCCAGAAAAAGAGCAAUAAAGCCCUGGAUGGAGAGGCAGGAGCCCUGGGUCCACUGUGUGACUCUGGGCAGUUCCUUUCCCUUUUUUGUCUCCUCUUGCAUCUGCCUGCCAGCAUAGAGCGAGAUCUCUGCAUAGGGCCUGCUGGAUGUGUAUGGAUUUGAAUCAUUUCCUGACAACAGUCUGGAACAGUUGUGCAUCAACUACGCCAAUGAGAAGCUGCAGCAGCAUUUUGUGGCUCACUACCUAAGGGCCCAGCAGGAGGAAUACGCAGUUGAGGGCCUGGAGUGGUCAUUCAUCAACUACCAGGACAACCAGCCCUGUUUGGAUCUCAUUGAGGGAAGCCCCAUC